AUUGAACGCUGGCGGCAUGCCUUACACAUGCAGGUCGAACGGCAGCACGGGGCAACCUGGUGGCGAGUGGCGAACGGGUGAGUAAUGCAUCGGAACGUACCUUUCAGUGGGGGAUAACGUAGCGAAAGUUACGCUAAUACCGCAUAUUCUGUGAGCAGGAAAGCAGGGGAUCGCAAGACCUUGCGCUGAUUGAGCGGCCGAUAUCAGAUUAGCUAGUUGGUGAGGUAAAGGCUCACCAAGGCGACGAUCUGUAGCGGGUCUGAGAGGAUGAUCCGCCACACUGGAAAUGAGACACGGUCCAGACUCCUACGGGAGGCAGCAGUGGGGAAUUUUGGACAAUGGGGGCAACCCUGAUCCAGCCAUGCCGCGUGAGUGAAGAAGGCCUUCGGGUUGUAAAGCUCUUUCGGCCGGGAAGAAAUCGUAUCAGCUAAUACCUGGUGCGGAUGACGGUACCGGCAUAAGAAGCACCGGCUAACUACGUGCCAGCAGCCGCAGUAACAC
rnacentral:rRNA from 1 species